GGGAGGGUACUCAGUGGUAGAGCACAUGCUUAGCAUGCAUGAGGUCCUGGGUUUGAUCCCAAGCACUACCA
rnacentral:tRNA from 1 species